rnacentral:misc_RNA from 1 species
GGCGUUUCAAUAUUGCCAAUGAUAAAUAUUAUUUGAACAGAAAGUCAACUCAGCAACUAAAGUCACAUUCAAAGAAACGCACGGCACAUGGUCUCAAAGUUCUGCACUCAAUACCAGCUCUUAAGCUGCAGACAAUGAAGGCUAAACUAAGCAAUAAAGAUAUAGCAAAUUUUCAUCGGCCAAGAGCUUUAUGGCAUCCCCAUGACAAUGAGGUGGUACUUAAGGAACAGAGAAAGUUGC